rnacentral:rRNA from 1 species
GAAAAAAGUUAUUUGUUAACUUGAAGGCUUCUGUAAAAAGAGUCUUUAAAAACAACUCUUGGCAAUGGAUCUCUUGGUUCUCGCAUCGAUGAAGAGCGUAGCAAAGUGCGAUAAUUAUUGCGACUUGCAUUCAUAGUGAAUCAUCGAGUUCUUGAACGCAUCUUGCGCCUAGUAGUCAAUCUACUAGGCACAGUUGUUUCAGUAUCUGCAUCCACCAAUCAACUUAACCUUUUGUGUUGAGUUGGAACUGGGCUUCUAGUUGAUGGCAUUUAGUUGCUGUCAUGGCCUUAAAUCAAUGUCCUAGGUGUUAGAACAUCUAACACCGGAUGGAAACUUUAGAGCGCUUUAAGAGCAGCUUGGUUAGUGAGUUCAAUAAUUCCAAGCAUUAAGUCUUUUAAUGAACUAGCUUUUCUAUCUAUGGGACACUACUUGGAGAAAUCCAAGUAACCUUUAAACUCACAU